CGGACGGGUGAGUAAUGUCUGGGAAACUGCCCGAUGGAGGGGGAUAACUACUGGAAACGGUAGCUAAUACCGCAUAACGUCGCAAGACCAAAGAGGGGGACCUUAGGGCCUUUUGCCAUCGGAUGUGCCCAGAUGGGAUUAGCUAGUAGGUGGGGUAAUGGCUCACCUAGGCGACGAUCCCUAGCUGGUCUGAGAGGAUGACCAGCCACACUGGAACUGAGACACGGUCCAG
rnacentral:rRNA from 1 species